UUAGUGGCAGACGGGUGAGUAACACGUGGGAAUCUACCCAUCAGUACGGAAUAACUUUUAGAAAUAAAAGCUAAUACCGUAUAUUCUCUACGGAGGAAAGAUUUAUCGCUGAUGGAUGAGCCCGCGUCAGAUUAGGUAGUUGGUGAGGUAAUGGCUCACCAAGCCGACGAUCUGUAGCUGGUCUGAGAGGAUGAUCAGCCACACUGGGACUGAGACACGGCCCAGACUCCUAC
rnacentral:rRNA from 1 species